rnacentral:rRNA from 1 species
CUGGCAGCUAGAGGGUGAGAGAGAGAAGUGGAAUUCCCGGAGUAGCGGUAAAUGCGUGGAUCUCGGGAGGAACACCAAUGGCGAAGGCAGCUUCUUGGCUCAUCCUGACGUUGAGGCACGAAAGCGUGGGAGCAAACAGGAUUAGAUACCUGGUAGUCCACGCCGUAAACGAUAAUCACUAGAUGUUGGUUCGGCUUAGCUGGAUCAGUGUCGUAGCUAACGCGUUAAGUGAUUCGCCUGGGGAGUAUGGUCGCAAGGCUAAAACUUAAAAGAAUUGACGGGGGUCCGCACAAGCGGUGGAACAUGUGGCUUAAUUCGACACUACGCGAGAAACCUUACCUGGGCUUGACAUGUACUCGACAGCUGUAGAAAUAUGGUUUUUUGGGUUUCGAUUCAAACGGGUACACAGGUGCUGCAUGGCUGUCGUCAGCUCGUGUCGUGAGAUGUUUGGUUAAGUCCUCUAACGAGCGCAACCCCUGCUACCAGUUGCUACUAAUCUUCGGAUUAAGCACUUUGGUGGGACUGCCCGGGAAACCGGGAGGAAGGUGGGGAUGACGUCAAGUCAUCAUGGUCCUUAUGUCCAGGGCUACACACGUGUUACAAUGGCUAAUACAGAGGGAAGCAAGACCGUAAGGUGUAGCAAACCCCAUAAAGUUAGUCUAAGUUCGGAUUGAGGUCUGCAAUUCGACCUCAUGAAGUUGAAAUCGCUAGUAAUCGCGCAUCAUAACGGCGCGGUGAAUACGUUCUCGGACCUUGUACACACCGCCCGUCACACCAUGAGAGCUGUUUGUACCCAAAGUCAUCUUAGCCAACCUGAAAAGGGGGCGGAUGCCUAAGGUAUGUAUGGUGAUUGGGGUGAAGUCGUAACAAGGUAACC